rnacentral:lncRNA from 12 species
AGUUGACAGUGACUCUCUUUAAGACCUUUCUCUGACUCUUUGUGCUCUAGGAAUUGAGGGAGUGGGAGGAACACACUCGAUGCAAGCACGUCUACCUGUGACCCCUCACUUGUGCAGCAGGCUGUGCACUGAUCCUGUGGAGCCUCCUUCGUGCUCCUGAUGAUUUAUAGGGGAAUUGGAAGCAGAAAAUGCAGCUGAAAAAAAGUCUGCUAUCCUACAGAAUAAAAUUCAUGAAGACAAAACAAUCAAAAAAUGGUGAUGUUGGGAGCACCAGCUGGUGGAAGAGCUUAUAGCAAAAUAAAAAAAAGAGACUGAAGAAACACCUGUG